rnacentral:rRNA from 1 species
AUUGAACGCUGGCGGCAGGCCUAACACAUGCAAGUCGAGCGGAUGAAGGGAGCUUGCUCCUGGAUUCAGCGGCGGACGGGUGAGUAAUGCCUAGGAAUCUGCCUGGUAGUGGGGGAUAACGUCCGGAAACGGGCGCUAAUACCGCAUACGUCCUGAGGGAGAAAGUGGGGGAUCUUCGGACCUCACGCUAUCAGAUGAGCCUAGGUCGGAUUAGCUAGUUGGUGGGGUAAAGGCCUACCAAGGCGACGAUCCGUAACUGGUCUGAGAAGAUGAUCAGUCACACUGGAACUGAGACACGGUCCAGACUCCUACGGGAGGCAGCAGUGGGGAAUAUUGGACAAUGGGCGAAAGCCUGAUCCAGCCAUGCCGCGUGUGUGAAGAAGGUCUUCGGAUUGUAAAGCACUUUAAGUUGGGAGGAAGGGCAGUAAGUUAAUACCUUGCUGUUUGGACGUUACCAACAGAAUAAGCACCGGCUAACUUCGUG